GGUCUUCAUCUUCAAGCUGCUGCUAUAGACCUGUCUGCAUUUGAAGAGCGAAGAGAACGCAGCACUUCAGGCUGCCUUUGGCAACUGCCGUUUCCCAUCUGGGACUUUGUGUGACACUGGAAUGUCCCUCUUUUCAUGCUGCUAACACUGCCCUCCCUAGGAGAGUCCUUAUGUGAUACAGCAAUACCUUCCCAUUCAUCCACUGGAAGUAAAUAGUGUGGGCCUGGACACAUCGAUCUUUGCUGAAGGAACCAUGGAAAGAGCGACUGAGCUAAGGGGCAUGGAAGCACCCAACAAAACCACAGAACACCAUGGAAACACAGGUGGCGGUUUAGCAUCUAUCAAAGGAGCCAGAUGGGCAGACAAAGAGAGAAGCCUCCAGCUACGUAUCAGACAAGCAGAGAAGGUGAGGGGUGCAGGCGCCCUGGCCACCCUGCAGCUGGCUCAGCAUCUGGACAGGAGAACAAAGCCGUGGCCCAGGAAACCUCCAUGGAGAAGACUGAAUUCUGGUCCAGCUGCUGCGUAAUCUACAUCGCUUGAGCGGAAGAGGAUCUGUAGUAACUGAUCCUUGGCUCUACACUCUCCCAUCCAUCAUCAGGAACAAUAGCGGGCUGCAGUUGCCUUUCCAACCCUGCUUUGAAGGGCUUAAUAUGUUGAUGGUUGCCAUGGCAAACAAGCUUAAAACACCACUGGAUGAUGUGAACGGCAGAGAUAAUGCUUCAUAACUUUCAACGGCUAGACUCCAGAAGGAGGAUUUUUGUAUUGCCAUUGUGUAGUGGAAAGAACGGCAAAAUGAGGAUCAGAAGAACUGGAUCUGUCUCAGAUCAGCCAUCAACUGGCUAUGUGGCCCUGGAUGGCACACCAUUUAACCCGUCUGUGCAGAGUACUAACUCAUCUGAAAAAGCAAGAAAUAAUAACAAAAGCAGUAACUGUGGAAAUCAUAAGAAAGUAAUAAUAUCAAUUGCAGCCCAGAAGUUGGAAUCUGGUCCCUCCUCUCCAUGAACCAAGUAUGAGACUUUAGAUAUUUCACACAAUGUUUCUGGGUCACUCUGUUCUCAUUGGGAAAGUUAGAGAUCAAAGAUACAUAUUAUAUAUUUUGUACUUGUGCCAUACCAACAAUAGAUAAGGAAGAGCUGGUGUUCCAGGCCAGCUAAUCAUCAUGGGAGACAGUGUCUGUGGCUGUCACUUCUCUAGUGGCCCUGCAGCUCACACCAAGUGUGUUAAAGCUACUCCGGAUGAGCCAAGUGUUCCACUGUGAUUGUCACUGUGGUCCUCUCCAUCAACAGGAUCUAUCAGAAAGCAGAAAAUGAAGCCCUAACAGCGUACUUACUCUCAUCAGUGGAUUAAACUUCAUCUUCCUCCUUCACCCUCCGUAGAGAUUAGCAAAGAUCUUGAGUUCUGCAUGUUUCUGAAUUAAAAUCCUGGAGAGUGAAUUUCCCAGCGGAGGUAAUGCAUGAUGAUUUGGCUGCUCAACCCCCAUUACCACUGAUGGAGCACAACAGGACGCUUAAAAUAAGUGGGGUCCCCUUGGCCUUCAUAAAUGCCUCCACACUUAGCAAAUAUGUAGCACAUUUAGCUUGGAAUCACAGGCAUGAAACAGCUUGUUGUCAAGUUCCUACAACACCCAGAGGACCAUCCAGAAAGUCAAUAUUUCUCUGACUUGGCCUUCCUGAGGCAUUGCUCCCUCUACCACAGUAAGCCUGCAAGGCUAUGGGGUCUCCUGCUUUUGUUACAAGCACCUCCUCAUGACCCUUGCACAUUUUAUUCCAGCUCUCACAGCUAUGCAUUUUUUAGAAGCGCUAUCUUCACCCCUCUCUUUGAAUGUUCUCUCUGACAUUAUGGAGGUGACCAAGAGAAACAGUUGUCUCUCAAGGAGGAUUUAUGCACAAUUUCUUAUAUAUUCAAGAACAAAGGGUGGACUUCUGUUUCUGACCAAGAGGGAGUAAAAGGGACCUGAUUACCUUCCCACUGGAAACAACAACAAGAUUAGGAACAACAAGAGAGACAAAACACUGGAAGCACUGGGCGCGGGCUUACGUCUGUAAUCCCAGCACUUCAGGAGGGUGGGACGGGCAGAUAGCUGGAGUCCAGGAGCUUGAAACCAGCCUGAGUGACAUGGCAAAACCUCAUCUCUACUAAAAAUACAAAAAUUAGCCGGGUGUGGUGGCACGUGCCUGUAGUUCCAGCUACUCAGGAGGCUGAGCUGGGAAGAUGACCUGAACCUGGGAGGCUGAGGCUGCUAUAAGCAGUGGACAAAGGGAUACCCAAUCUGAAAACAAAAACACUAGAAGCAGUGGUUUUCAAGACACUGAUACCAGGCAAUGAAAUAUAAUUACUCCUGAGAGAUGGAAAACGAGAGGAGCACAGCAUUCAUCCCAGCUGACUUCCUGGAGAGCAUUUCCAGGAGUGGUGCAGGGAGAGGUAAUCAGGUGGAGGCUAGAGGACUCCCAGAGUUGAGCAACUGAAAGCCCUGGAAGAUCAAGAACAUUAGAGUGCUCAGAAUAGAAUACCAGGGGAGGAGAAAUCUGCACAGAGAACUCCUGAGAUCUGCAGAGGGUUCCCUUGAGCAUCCAGCAGAGGACUGAUCAGGGCAUGUGUGCAAUAAAACUUCCCAAAGGCCGGGCAAAGAACCUUCCCAGAAGAUUGGAAGGAACAGUGCCCAGCACUCACACGGGGCCAGGGAUGCUUGCCUGUUCCUACCAGACAGAAUGGAAAACUUGAUUAACCCAAUAAUUCAUGAGGCAUUGAAUUGGGUACGCAUGAGUAUCUUGUGUCAGUGAUGGGGCCAGACAGUAAACAUUGUUCUGAUCUCACCAAAUAGAUAUUAAGAGCAAGAGCCAAAACACAUUGAAUUUGUAGAAAAAAGUCCUUCCACAAAGGCACUUGUAAGCUCAGCUGGCUUCACUGGUAAAUGCUACCAAACAGUGAAGGAAGAAAUCAUAUCAGCUAUAUAUAAACUCUUUCAAGAAAAUUGAAGAGGAAGGAAUAAUUCCCAAUUCAUUCUAUAAGGUCAGCAUUACCUUAAAAACAAAACUGGAAAAAGACAUUAUGAAAAACUAAAACUACAGACCAUUAUUUUCCAUAAAUAGAUAUGCAAAAAUUCUAAAAAACAUACUGUUAGUAAAUUGAAUUCAAAAAUCUAUAAAAAGUAUACAUCAGGGCCAUGUAAUCUAUCCCAGGAAUACAAGGCUAGUUUAACAUUAAAAAUAAUCAACCAAUGUACUUCAUCAUAUUAACAAACUAAAAUAAGAAAAACAUAUGAUUAUCUUAAUAAAGACGAAAGCAUUUGACAAACUGUAACAUCUGUUCCUAAUUUUUAUAAACCUCUCAGCAAAUUAAGAGAACUUUCUCAAACUGAUAAAGAGCAUGUAUAGAAAACCUACAGCUAUCAGCAUAUCUAAAGAUAAAAGACUGAAAGCUUUCCCUGUGAAAUCAGGAACAAGACAAGAAUCUCCAUUCACAUGAGUUCUAUUCAACAUUGUACUGGAGAAUCUAGCUAAUACAAUAACGCAAGAAGAAGAAAUAAAAGGCAUUCAUGCUGGAAAGGAAGAAGUAAAACUGUCAUUUGCAGAUUACUUGAUUGCCAUAUAGAAUAUCUGAUGAAAUCAAUAAAAACUACUAGAACAAACAAGAGUAGCAUUGUUACAAGACAAGAAAUUCUAUGCAAAAAUCAGUUGUAUUUCUAUACACUAGUAAUGAGCAACGUGAAAUUGAAAUGUUUAAAAUGUCAUUCAAAAGGGUCAUUAAAAAUUUAAAUACUUAGAGGUAAAUUUGACAAGGGAUAUCCAAGAUCUGUACGUUGAAGGCUACAAAAUUGCAGUGAAAGAAAUUAAAGACCUAUAUAAAUAGAGACAUAUACUAAACUAAUCAGUCAUGAGACUCAAUAUUGUUAAAAUGUCAUUUUCUCCAUAUUAAUGUAUAAAUUCAAUACAAUUUCAAUCCAAAACCAGGAAAUUUUUUAGUAGAAAUUGGCAAGCUAAUUUAAAAAUCUAUAUGGAAGUGCAAAAGAUACAGAAUAGUCAAAACAAUUUUGAAAAAGAAAAUGUUGGAGGCCUACCACUAUCUGAUUUGAAGACUUGGUUUAAAGGCUGAUUGAGGUGGCUCACGCUUGUAGUCCCAGCACUUUGGGAGGGUGAGACAGGAGGAUUGCUUGAACCCAGGAGUUCAAGAAACUCCUGGGAAACAUAAGAAAACCUCAUCUCUAGAAAACAAUUUUAAAUUAGCUGGGUGUAGUGGUAUGUGCCUGUAGUCCCAACUACUUAGGAGGCUGAGGCAGGAGGAUUGCUUAAGCCCAAGAGGUAAAGGCUGCAGAGAGCUAUGAUUGUGCCACUGCACUGCAGACUAGGUGACAUAAUGAGACUCCAUUUCAAACAACAACAACAACAACAAAAAGCUUUAGUAAUCAACAGUAUCGUAUUAGCAUAAAUACUGAAAAAUAGGCCAGUGAAAUAAAACAGAGUUCAGAAAUGCAUCCAUACUGACAAAGAUAACUGAUUUUUGAUAAAGAUGAUACAGCAAGUCAAUGGAGAAAAGAAAAGCAAUGAAAAUAUUUGAACAGGCACUUCACCAAAAAAGACACAUGGUUGGAAAGUAAGCAGACAAAGAGGUGCUGAAUAUUAUCAGUCAUCAGGGAAAUGCAAAUUAAAACCACAGUGAGAUAACACUAUCAGAAUUAGAAUUGCUGUGAUGAAAAUUCCAAAGUUGGAAAUGAUACGGAAGAAAUUAAACUGUCAUAUACUGCUGGUGGGAAUGAAAAAUGGUACAACCAUUUUGGAAAACAGGGAAUUUCUUAAAAGCUAAAUAUACACCUACGAUAUGAUUCAGCUAUUCCACUCCUAGGUAGUAACUCAAAAGAAGUAAAACCAUAUGACCUUAGGCUAUGGUCUGAAUAUUUGUGUCCCUCCAAAAUUCAUGUUGAAAGGAAUUCUAACUCUCAAGGUGAUGGUAUUAGAAGGUAGGGUCUUUUGGGAGGUAAUUAGGUAGGUCAUGAGGGCAGAGCUCUCAUGAAUGGGAUUAGUGCUCUUAUAAAAAAGGCCCAGGCGAACUUGUUCGUCCCCUUCCACCAUGUAAAGACAUAGCUAGAAAGUGCCAUCCAUAAACCAGAAAGUGGGUCCUCACCGUAAGUGAAUUGGCUGGUGUCUUGAUCUUGGACUUCUUGAACUUUGGAACUGUGAGAACAACUUCUGUUGUUUACAAGCUGCUCUGUUAAUAAUGUUUUGUUACAGCAGCUUGAAAGGACUAAGACACCAUGCAAAGACUGGUUUAUGAAUGCUCAUAGGAGCUUUAUUUUAACUAAUGAAAAACUGGAAACAACCUAAAUGUACACCAAUCAUUGAAUGCAUAAACACAUGAUAUAUGCAUACUGUGGAAUACUUUUCAGCAAUAAAAAUGAACUACUAAUACAUGCAACAACAUGGAUCAAUCUCUAAAUAAUUAUACUGAGUGAAGGAAGCCAGACAAAAGUGAGUACAUAUUGUGUGAUUCCAAAUAUAUGAAAUUCUAGAAAAUGCAAAUGAAUCUAUGGUGACAGAAGGGAGAUCAGUGAUUUCCUGAAGCUGGGGGAGGGGAUAGAAGGAGGAGGAAAGGAGGCUGACAGGAGGAACAGAUUACAAAAAGAAAUGAGGAAACUUUUGGAUUGAUGGAUACGUUCACUAUGAUCAUUGUGAUGAUUGCACAAAUGUGCACGAAAUGUCAAAACUUAUCAAAUUGCACACUUUAAAUAUUUGUUCUUUAUUAUAUAUCAGUUAUACCUCAAUAAAGC
rnacentral:lncRNA from 1 species